GGGUUGUGAGGUUAAGCGACUAAGCGUACACGGUGGAUGCCCUGGCAGUCAGAGGCGAUGAAGGACGUGCUAAUCUGCGAAAAGCGUCGGUAAGGUGAUAUGAACCGUUACAGCCGGCGAUGUCCGAAUGGGGAAACCCAGUGCAAUUCGUUGCACUAUCGUUAACUGAAUACAUAGGUUAACGAGGCGAACCGGGGGAACUGAAACAUCUAAGUACCCCGAGGAAAAGAAAUCAACCGAGAUUCCCCCAGUAGCGGCGAGCGAACGGGGAGCAGCCCAGAGUCUGAAUCAGCUUGUGUGUUAGUGGAACGGUCUGGAAAGUCCGACGGUACAGGGUGAUAGUCCCGUACACCAAAAUGCACAGGUUGUGAACUCGAAGAGUAGGGCGGGACACGUGGUAUCCUGUCUGAAUAUGGGGGGACCAUCCUCCAAGGCUAAAUACUCCUGACUGACCGAUAGUGAACCAGUACCGUGAGGGAAAGGCGAAAAGAACCCCGGCGAGGGGAGUGAAAAAGAACCUGAAACCGUGUACGUACAAGCAGUGGGAGCACCUUCGGGUGUGACUGCGUACCUUUUGUAUAAUGGGUCAGCGACUUAUAUUCUGUAGCAAGGUUAACCGUAUAGGGGAGCCGCAGGGAAACCGAGUCUUAACUGGGCGUUAAGUUGCAGGGUAUAGACCCGAAACCCGGUGAUCUAGCCAUGGGCAGGUUGAAGGUUGGGUAACACUAACUGGAGGACCGAACCGACUAAUGUUGAAAAAUUAGCGGAUGACUUGUGGCUGGGGGUGAAAGGCCAAUCAAACCGGGAGAUAGCUGGUUCUCCCCGAAAGCUAUUUAGGUAGCGCCUCGUGAACUCAUCUUCGGGGGUAGAGCACUGUUUCGGCUAGGGGGUCAUCCCGACUUACCAACCCGAUGCAAACUACGAAUACCGAAGAAUGUUAUCACGGGAGACACACGGCGGGUGCUAACGUCCGUCGUGAAGAGGGAAACAACCCAGACCGCCAGCUAAGGUCCCAAAGUCAUGGUUAAGUGGGAAACGAUGUGGGAAGGCACAGACAGCCAGGAUGUUGGCUUAGAAGCAGCCAUCAUUUAAAGAAAGCGUAAUAGCUCACUGGUCGAGUCGGCCUGCGCGGAAGAUGUAACGGGGCUAAACCAUGCACCGAAGCUGCGGCAGCGACACUAUGUGUUGUUGGGUAGGGGAGCGUUCUGUAAGCCUGCGAAGGUGUGCUGUGAGGCAUGCUGGAGGUAUCAGAAGUGCGAAUGCUGACAUAAGUAACGAUAAAGCGGGUGAAAAGCCCGCUCGCCGGAAGACCAAGGGUUCCUGUCCAACGUUAAUCGGGGCAGGGUGAGUCGACCCCUAAGGCGAGGCCGAAAGGCGUAGUCGAUGGGAAACAGGUUAAUAUUCCUGUACUUGGUGUUACUGCGAAGGGGGGACGGAGAAGGCUAUGUUAGCCGGGCGACGGUUGUCCCGGUUUAAGCAUGUAGGCUGAUUGUCCAGGCAAAUCCGGAUAAUCAAGGCUGAGGUGUGAUGACGAGGCACUACGGUGCUGAAGUAACAAAUGCCCUGCUUCCAGGAAAAGCCUCUAAGCAUCAGGUAACAUCAAAUCGUACCCCAAACCGACACAGGUGGUCAGGUAGAGAAUACCAAGGCGCUUGAGAGAACUCGGGUGAAGGAACUAGGCAAAAUGGUGCCGUAACUUCGGGAGAAGGCACGCUGGUGUGUAGGUGAAGUCCCUGCGGAUGGAGCUGAGACCAGUCGAAGAUACCAGCUGGCUGCAACUGUUUAUUAAAAACACAGCACUGUGCAAACACGAAAGUGGACGUAUACGGUGUGACGCCUGCCCGGUGCCGGAAGGUUAAUUGAUGGGGUUAUCCGUAAGGAGAAGCUCUUGAUCGAAGCCCCGGUAAACGGCGGCCGUAACUAUAACGGUCCUAAGGUAGCGAAAUUCCUUGUCGGGUAAGUUCCGACCUGCACGAAUGGCGUAAUGAUGGCCAGGCUGUCUCCACCCGAGACUCAGUGAAAUUGAACUCGCUGUGAAGAUGCAGUGUACCCGCGGCAAGACGGAAAGACCCCGUGAACCUUUACUAUAGCUUGACACUGAACAUUGAGCCUUGAUGUGUAGGAUAGGUGGGAGGCUUUGAAGCGUGGACGCCAGUCUGCGUGGAGCCAACCUUGAAAUACCACCCUUUAAUGUUUGAUGUUCUAACGUUGGCCCCUGACCGGGGUUGCGGACAGUGUCUGGUGGGUAGUUUGACUGGGGCGGUCUCCUCCCAAAGCGUAACGGAGGAGCACGAAGGUUAGCUAAUCCUGGUCGGACAUCAGGAGGUUAGUGCAAUGGCAUAAGCUAGCUUGACUGCGAGCGUGACGGCGCGAGCAGGUGCGAAAGCAGGUCAUAGUGAUCCGGUGGUUCUGAAUGGAAGGGCCAUCGCUCAACGGAUAAAAGGUACUCCGGGGAUAACAGGCUGAUACCGCCCAAGAGUUCAUAUCGACGGCGGUGUUUGGCACCUCGAUGUCGGCUCAUCACAUCCUGGGGCUGAAGUAGGUCCCAAGGGUAUGGCUGUUCGCCAUUUAAAGUGGUACGCGAGCUGGGUUUAGAACGUCGUGAGACAGUUCGGUCCCUAUCUGCCGUGGGCGCUGGAGAAUUGAGGGGGGCUGCUCCUAGUACGAGAGGACCGGAGUGGACGCAUCACUGGUGUUCGGGUUGUCAUGCCAAUGGCACUGCCCGGUAGCUAAAUGCGGAAGAGAUAAGUGCUGAAAGCAUCUAAGCACGAAACUUGCCCCGAGAUGAGUUCUCCCUGAGACU
rnacentral:rRNA from 2 species